ACUCUCGAUUGCCUCCCCACCUUGCACACAUAUCUCUACGUAUAUGUAAAAUGGAUGAGGAUCCACUGCAGAUUCUGGAAAAGUUGCUUCAUUUAAAGUCGGUUGUAUUACGUUACAGAUCUUUCGAUGGGAGGAAGAUGGUGUGUUCAAAAGGUGGAUUCCCUCAGUUAUGUAAUCUAGGAAUAUCGCUCCUAUACGACUUGGAAGAGUGGAUAGUCGAAGAAGGGUCGAUGCCAUGUCUUCGUACCUUGUCUAUAUGGUAUUGUGAAAAGUUGGAGGAGUUACCGGAAGGGCUCAAGUAUAUCACUUCUUUAAAGGAACUGAAAAUCACCGAUAAGAACAAGGAGUGGAAGACGAAACUCGUACCAGGUGGGGAAAGUUACCACAAAGUCCAACACAUUCCUAGUGUUCAAUUACACUAUCGUGGCGAGGAAUAAGGAGAACAAAACUGUCUCAGGUGAACCUGCUCAGGACACUAUUGAUUGUGUGAUGUGAUAAUAAGUCGUUUUUGUUGUAUUGGUGUUUUAAAGUUGACAUAUCUUGUCUGCGAUAUUCCGUUUAUGUGUUGCAUUGCUACGUUUGAAAUAUAUUUUGUAUGUUGAACCAUAUCUUCUUCGAUGUGUCUCCGUUGUGUGUGCUUAGUUGACUUGUAUUGUAUGGUCGGAAUUGGAGAUAGUAUGGUGCUUUGAUAGUGAUCACUUAAUAUUAUUCUUAA